AGAGUUUGAUCCUGGCUCAGAUUGAACGCUGGCGGCAGGCCUAACACAUGCAAGUCGAGCGGAUGAGAGGAGCUUGCUCCUUGAUUUAGCGGCGGACGGGUGAGUAAUGCCUAGGAAUCUGCCUGGUAGUGGGGGAUAACGUCCGGAAACGGGCGCUAAUACCGCAUACGUCCUACGGGAGAAAGCAGGGGACCUUCGGGCCUUGCGCUAUCAGAUGAGCCUAGGUCGGAUUAGCUAGUUGGUGAGGUAAUGGCUCACCAAGGCGACGAUCCGUAACUGGUCUGAGAGGAUGAUCAGUCACACUGGAACUGAGACACGGUCCAGACUCCUACGGGAGGCAGCAGUGGGGAAUAUUGGACAAUGGGCGAAAGCCUGAUCCAGCCAUGCCGCGUGUGUGAAGAAGGUCUUCGGAUUGUAAAGCACUUUAAGUUGGGAGGAAGGGCAUUAACCUAAUACGUUAGUGUUUUGACGUUACCGACAGAAUAAGCACCGGCUAACUUCGUGCCAGCAGCCGCGGUAAUACGAAGGGUGCAAGCGUUAAUCGGAAUUACUGGGCGUAAAGCGCGCGUAGGUGGUUCGUUAAGUUGGAUGUGAAAGCCCCGGGCUCAACCUGGGAACUGCAUCCAAAACUGGCGAGCUAGAGUACGGUAGAGGGUGGUGGAAUUUCCUGUGUAGCGGUGAAAUGCGUAGAUAUAGGAAGGAACACCAGUGGCGAAGGCGACCACCUGGACUGAUACUGACACUGAGGUGCGAAAGCGUGGGGAGCAAACAGGAUUAGAUACCCUGGUAGUCC
rnacentral:rRNA from 1 species